rnacentral:rRNA from 1 species
AACGAACGUUGGCGGCGUGCUUAAUACAUGCAAGUCGAACGAGAAAGUACCUUCGGGUACGAGUAUAGUGGCAAACGGGUGAGUAAUACUUAGGUAACGUACCUCUAGGAGGGGGAUAACCUGUCGAAAGAUGGGCUAAUACCGCAUAGGACCACAGUCCCUACGGGGACAGGGGUGAAAGAUGGCCUCUACUUGUAAGCUAUCACCUGGAGAUCGGCUUAAGCACCAUUAGCUUGUUGGUGAGGUAACGGCUCACCAAAGCUGCGAUGGUUAGCUGAUCUGAGAGGAUGAUCAGCCACACUGGAACUGCGACACGGUCCAG